GUGGGGAAUAUUGCGCAAUGGGCGAAAGCCUGACGCAGCAACGCCGCGUGAGGGAUGAAGGCCUUCGGGUUGUAAACCUCUUUUAGCAGGGAAGAAGCGAAAGUGACGGUACCUGCAGAAAAAGCACCGGCUAACUACGUGCCAGCAGCCGCGGUAAUACGUAGGGUGCAAGCGUUAUCCGGAAUUAUUGGGCGUAAAGAGCUCGUAGGCGGUUUGUCGCGUCUGCUGUGAAAAUCUGAGGCUCAACCUCGGACUUGCAGUGGGUACGGGCAGACUAGAGUGCGGUAGGGGAGAAGGGAAUUCCUGGUGUAGCGGUGGAAUGCGCAGAUAUCAGGAGGAACACCAAUGGCGAAGGCACUUCUCUGGGCCGUAACUGACGCUGAGGAGCGAAAGCGUGGGGAGCGAACAGGAUUAAAUACC
rnacentral:rRNA from 1 species